rnacentral:SRP_RNA from 1 species
GCUGGGCAUGGUGGCGCAUGCCUGUAAUCCCAGCGGUUCGGGAGGCUGAGACAGGAGGAUUAUGAGUUCAAAGUCAUCUCAGCAAAAAUAAGCGAGGUGCUAAGCAGCUUAGUGAGACCCUGUCUCAA